rnacentral:rRNA from 1 species
GACAGAGGGUGCAAACGUUGUUCGGAAUUACUGGGCGUAAAGCGCGUGUAGGCGGCCCUGCAAGUCGGAUGUGAAAUCCCACGGCUCAACCGUGGAAGUGCAUUCGAAACUGCAGGGCUAGAGUCCUGGAGAGGAAGGUGGAAUGCUUGGUGUAGAGGUGAAAUUCGUAGAUAUCAAGCGGAACACCAAUUGCGAAGGCAGCUUUCUGGACGGUAAGCAAUUUUAAAUCUGACGCUGAGACACGAAAGCCGAGGGAGCGAACAGG